rfam:Blastocystis sp. NandII AV274scaffold_211, whole genome shotgun sequence.
AUACUUACCUGGCGGGGAUUUGGCUGCGAUCAAGAAGGCGGCUGGUCUGGGACUGAGCAGGCCCUAGCACUCUGGUGCUGUGAGGUUCCAAUGGUCUUUCGGGAUCAAUACCGCACAAUUUUUGGGUUGGGGAGUUUGCGCUUGCGCAUCUCCUG